UCUAGGGUUCGAGGCUUGGUAAUGCAAGAUGAGCUUUUUAUUUUGCUAGUAACGCUGGGGAGGUGUUGUUGUUUGACUGAAAUUGAAUGCUUGUAUAGUGGACCAAGUUGUGGCUGAAUUCUAGGUGUGUGUUGGAGAGAAUUUCGGCUGGUUGGGAUAUGGUUAGGUGGGAUGUGUGUGAGAAAUCUUAGGAGUGAUAUGGGGAGAAAAUUUAGGAGAUUUUGAAGGGAUUUAGAUAGUGUUCGGUUGGAGUUAGUGGGGGAGCCGAAUGUGGAGAGAGUUAGGGAGUGGCAUUUGUAGGAAAAAGAGCAUUUUUG
rnacentral:lncRNA from 1 species